rnacentral:rRNA from 1 species
AUGGCAAUAGUUCAAUACACAUUUGACAAGAUGAAUGCGUACUUUCUAAAGUACUCGAUGGAAACCGAUGCACAAAUAGCAGGUGAGAACCCGCGCAAGUACAAGUACAAGUUCCCACCCAAGGUUGAUGAAUGGUUACAAUUUCAAUCACGGAAGGCGGACACAGAAGAAACUAUAUUAUAUGACAACGAAGAGUAGAAGUACGAAGUGAAAGAGCCAGGAGGAACCACAAACGAUGGCCGCCAACAUGGAGGUCGGGCUUUCAAGGUGUCGUUAACACAAUGUGAUUGCUCUUGUAGGAGGCCAUUGUUGCUUCAUCGGCCAUGCUCACACUUGUAUACCACUGGUCCCGUUAGGAAUGUGGACAUCAAUCACCCACGCACCAUGAGGGAGUCGGAGUUCUCAAUCAUGACGGUCAAGAAAACAUGGGCUCCCCGCUUUCACCCAUAUUUUGACCAAUCACAAUGGUUGGAGUACCAUGGUGUUCAACUAUGGACGGAUCCA